AAAGUGAUUGAUUCUAUCACUUUUAUUAAAGUUAAUUUUUAUUAAACAUGUAAAUUUUAUUGAGUUUAUACCAUUUAUUAAAUAUAAAUGAUUUUUUUAUUAUUCAGUUUUUAAUAUUAUUUAUUGUUAAUAUCAAUUAUAGUAAUUGAUUUUUAUACUAACAAAUUUUAGUGCCAGCAGUUGCGGUUAUUCUAAUAGUAUAACUUUAAUUUUAUCGGUUAGGUAUUAUUUUUAUAAAUUUUUAUUUUUAAAAUAUUUUAUUAGGUGAAAUUUUAAAUUAUUAAUUAUGUAAUGGUAUAUUAAAUAUUAGUUUUAUUUAAAAACUAGGAUUAGAUACCCUAUUAUUUUAAAUUUAAUUUAUUACCUUGUUAUUAAUAGUUAUUUUCUUAAAAACAAAAGAAUUUGGCGGUAAUUAUUAAUUGUUUAGAGGAACCUGUUCUGUAAUCGAUAAACCACGAGUUAUUUUACUUUAAUUGUUGCUUAUAUACCUCUAUCAUUGAAUGUUUUAUAAGAAUAAAUUUUCUAUAAUUAUUUUAUACAAAAUGUUAGGUCAAGGUUUAGUUUAUUAAAGAAGAAAUGGGUUACAUUAAUUUUAAUUGUGGUUUUAAUUAUUUAUGUUUUUAAGUAAGUUGGAUUUAAUUGUAAUUUUUUCUUAAUUGAAAAAAUGAAAUUAUUAUGAUUAUGCACAUAUCGCCCGUCAUUCUCAUAUAAUUGGGACAAGUCGUAACAAAGUAGGACUACUGGAAAGUGGCCCUGGUUAGUUU
rnacentral:ncRNA from 1 species